UCCUACGGGAGGCAGCAGUGGGGAAUCUUGGACAAUGGGCGAAAGCCUGAUCCAGCCAUGCCGCGUGAGUGAUGAAGGCCCUAGGGUUGUAAAACUCUUUUGGCGGGGACGAUAAUGACGGUACCCGCAGAAGAAGCCCCGGCUAACUUAGUGCCAGCAGCCGCGGUAAU
rnacentral:rRNA from 1 species